AUUGAACGCUGGCGGCAUGCCUUACACAUGCAAGUCGAACGGUAACAGGUUAAGCUGACGAGUGGCGAACGGGUGAGUAAUAUAUCGGAACGUGCCCAGUCGUGGGGGAUAACGUAGAGAAAGCUACGCUAAUACCGCAUACGAUCUACGGAUGAACGCGGGGGAUCGCAAGACCUCGCGCGAUUGGAGCGGCAGAUCUCAGAUUAGGUUGUGGGUGAGGUAAAAGCUCACCAAGCCGGCGAUCUGUAGCUGGUCUGAGAGGACGACCAGCCACACUGGAACUGAGACACGGUCCAGACUCCUACGGGAGGCAGCAGUGGGGAAUUUUGGACAAUGGACGCAAGUCUGAUCCAGCAAUGCCGCGUGCAGGACGAAGGCCUUCGGGUUGUAAACUGCUUUUGUACGGAACGAAACGGUGAGCUCUAAUACAGUUUGCUGAUGACGGUACCGUAAGAAUAAGCACCGGCUAACUACGUGCCAGCCGCCGCAGUAA
rnacentral:rRNA from 1 species